UUGUCUCUUAUUGUGCAAGCAGCUAAAAAAUUUUUAGAUUUUGUUUGGAGAAAAAAAAAUAUCGUAAAUUUAUAGAAAGGUUCUAAAAAGCGUUAAAGACAUAGUGUUCAUUGAAAAAAAAAUCCAAACUAUCACGGUGUUGAAAUAUGUUUGUCAUAACACAUUCACAGCACAAUACAUGAAAAUAUAAUUGACUAUAAUCGAUGGAUAUUUAAUGUAAACAAUUGGUUUGAACAUUCGAAUGCGAAGUGUGAAAAGUGUAUAAAUUUAAAAAUCAUGAAAUAAUAAACCAAAGCUAGCGCAGAUUAGAUAGUAGUUAGCUACCAAUUACAUGAAGCAAAAAUAAAUAAGCAAAAAAAUAAAAUUUAAGGAUCAAAUAAAAAAAUGAAGUCUUGAUAUGUAAAUUAUUAUAAUUUUUCAAAAAAGAUAUAUGAGGGGUCUUUUGCAUCGUUUUAUAGCAAGGGUAGAAGCUAUCUUUCAGAAAAUAUGAACCACACCUCAUUAAAAGGUAUUGAUAUUACUAGUGCGCCCAAACUAAUACAGGCACAGAGGACAAAAAUGUCUUAAAAUGCGAUAUUUACUUUGCUGAAAUACAAUCAAAAGUAAAUACUAGUACAUUAUACAUAAUUGAAUAGAGGCAUUUCUUCUGCAAGAGUUGGUCUGACCGAACCUUUUAUUCACUUCAGUUAUUUUCAAAGUUGAUAUGGUGACACGUAAGAUUAAUUAAUUAAUUGUUCUUCAAUAAAAGUAGGCAGGCACGCAUAAAUCGAUUUUUCUGUUCAUUUUUAUUGGUUGUAUAAAUGUUGGACGAGAUCUCCGACGAGCACUUCUUUGCCUUUACACAUAUAGCCAAUGGAUGGUACGGACGAUUGACGGAUGAACACAUUGGAUGGUCUUCUUUCCUUGAAAGCCGCGAUUCAACCCCCCUCGCUCCAAGUGGGUUUUCUUUCUUAUUUCUUCCCAGAACAUUUUCCUCAAUCUUGAUCUGCAUAAAGCGCCUACAUAAUAUGAUACGCGCGAAGGAAUGCAAAGUUUUAUUUAUUUGCAUUACUAUAGCAACAUUUGCAAAAAUUUUUCUUCACCAAAAGAAUGGAGUUUAAAUUCGGAUCUUUUUCAUCAAAUAUUUAAUAAUAAUAUGUUAAAGAUGGCGUUUUCAAUACACCGACAAGAAAGUCAUCUUAUUUUUAUAUGAAGCUAGUGUAAAUAAGCGCACAGAAGGGCCCCAGAGCCAAUUUGUAUUAAAGCGAACAUUUAGUUAAUUCAAACGAUAAGUUGAAUAUAUAGGUAAAUGGUAGCGAGUAGAAAAAGGAAAAGUUUUCUAGUUUUCUUUUCGAAAUAAUUAGUAAUUGCUUUGUCGUGAAUUACGCGCACUAACAUAUGACGGUGCGGAUAUGUAAUUUGUACAGGUUUACGUAUUUGUAUGAGUUCAGGUAUAGGAGCACGUGCUUAAACUUUACAAUUUAGUUAUCAUAUACGAGGAAAUCACGCUUUAGAAAACCAAACGUGUUUUUACAAACACUAAAGAACGGUGCGCUUGGUGUGUAUAGCUAACUAAACGUAUAUUCACGAUAUGUGUGGAUAUACACACUUACUAUCCGUGAGAUUCUGUAUCGAACUUGUGUUACAAAAAUGGGUAAAUGAGUUGCCAAAGACGUUCUUCUACUUAACUGUUGAGUAAUUUAGAGAAAACUUUAGAUCCACUGAUUGAAAUCUACAUAACCAAUUUUCAAAACAUUACGAAUUUUCCGAAAACUAUUCUUUUCUUCUCAUUUAUAUUAGCAACCAUAUUCAGGUACAUUUAAGUUUUUCUAAAAAGUAUUUAAAUACCUCUCGCAAGUUUCAACUCAAGCCGCACGAGUGUGUGAAAUUUGUCUUUCAUUUCAUUUUAUUUUAUUUUUACAAAUUGAAACCGGAAUUUAUAAUUAUGGUGCAAAGUGUUAGUAAAAGAGAGGAAAACGAAGAGGAAAACGAACGAAUAUUUACAUGGUAUAAAUCGCAACCAUUCGGUACGGUUUUAAUAAAGCGAUAUGUUGACCAGUUGGCGUUUUAUUUUGGCUAUGUUUUACAAAACUUGUCUAACGAUAUGUUCGUUUUUGUUGUUAAUGAAUGCACCAGCGCACGGCGCUGGUUUUGGUCGUUGCCCUAAUUAUCCGUCAAUGCCAAAAUUCAAUAUGAGUCAGUCGCCGAGUUUCAACAAUAGUCACGUUUGUAUCCCGUCCAAAUUCAAAUAGGCACAUCUGGGCUAUAAUAAGAAUACACGAACUUUUAGAGGAUCACGCUGUAACGAGAUUACCAAUAGCUAUUUUUGGAUACAGACAUAAUAUUUUCAUAACUUCGUGAACGU